AUCUCAAUGUGUUUCCAUAGUAUGUGAAUCGUUCACCAAGUAUGCUUGUACAUUUAAAUCCCGUGCAGUUAGUUUGGGUGUAGCAAUUGCCGGGUGCGGACGUGUUUAUCCACAUUAAUAUUCAUGUAUUUUAUCUAGUAAUAGUCAUCAAGUUUUGAUACCUUGUGACCAGAGUCCACUACUUCUGAGAUACCUUCUUCAUUUGACUCCUUUUUGAAGAACAGUAAAGGAUGAACAUUUGUGUAUAACUUGAGUGUAUUAAAUUGGUAUAAAC